UACAGAGGUCCCAAGCGUUGUUCGGAUUCAUUGGGCGUAAAGGGUGCGUAGGUGGCGCUGUAAGUCGGGUGUGAAAUCCCUCGGCUUAACCGAGGAAUUGCGCCCAAAACUACUGUGCUCGAGGGAGAUAGAGGUGAGCGGAACUUAGGGUGGAGCGGUGAAAUGCGUAGAUAUCGUUUGGAACGCCAAUGGUGAAAACAGGUAACUGGGAGUGCGCUGACGCUGAGACACGAAAGCCAGGGGAGCGAACGGG
rnacentral:rRNA from 1 species